rnacentral:lncRNA from 1 species
AAUCGUCAUGAUAUUGGGGUUGAGUUUGUGGUAUGUAGUGUUGAUUUGGUUGGGGGGUGGACAUGUGUUGUGGUUGUUGUUGUUGGUAAUACGGUGGUGGUGGUUGUUGUUGGUAAUAUGGUGGUGGUUGUUGUUGUUGGUAAUAUUGUGGUGCUUGUUGUUGUUGGGAAUAUUGUGGUGGUUGUUGUUGUUGGAAAUAUGGAGGUGGUGGUGGUUGUUGUUGGUAAUAUGGUGGUGGUUGUUGUUGUUGGUAAUAUUGUGGUGCUUGUUGUUGUUGGGAAUAUUGUGGUGGUUGUUGUUGUUGGAAAUAUGGU